rnacentral:misc_RNA from 1 species
UCUCCGUAGGUGAACCUGCGGAGGGAUCAUUACUGAGUGAGGGUCUCCGGGCCCGACCUCCAACCCCAUGUGAACCGAAACCUGUUGCUUCGGGGGCGACCCUGCCGUUCGGCGCGGCGCCCCCGGAGGCCAUUAAACACUGCAUCAUUGCGUCGGAGUUAAAGUAAAUUAAACAAAACUUUCAACAACGGAUCUCUUGGUUCCAGCAUCGAUGAAGAACGCAGC